rnacentral:rRNA from 1 species
UACGUAGGUGGCAAGCGUUGUCCGGAAUCACUGGGCGUAAAGCGCGCGCAGGCGGCGAUCUACGUCUGGGGUGAAAGCCCGGGAGCUCAACUCCGGGACUGCCUUGGAUACGGGAUCGCUUGAGGAUUGGAGAGGCAAGGGGAAUUCCACGUGUAGCGGUGAAAUGCGUAGAGAUGUGGAGGAACACCUGUGGCGAAGGCGCCUUGCUGGCCAAUUUCUGACGCUGAGGCGCGAAAGCGUGGGAGCAAA